GAUGAACGCUAGCGGCAGGCUUAACACAUGCAAGUCGAGGGGCAGCGCGAUGUAGCAAUACAUUGGCGGCGACCGGCGCACGGGUGCGUAACACGUAUGGAAUCUGCCCUUUACUGGGGGAUAGCCCGGAGAAAUCCGGAUUAAUACCCCAUAACAAUCGAGGUGGCAUCACCUUGAUUUGAAAGCUCCGGCGGUAAAGGAUGACCAUGCGCACGAUUAGCUAGUAGGUGAGGUAACGGCUCACCUAGGCUACGAUCGUUAGGGGGCCUGAGAGGGUUAUCCCCCACACUGGUACUGAGACACGGACCAGACUCCUACGGGAGGCAGCAGUGAGGAAUAUUGCGCAAUGGAGGCAACUCUGACGCAGCCAUGCCGCGUGCAGGAAGAAGGCGCUACGCGUUGUAAACUGCUUUUAACCGGGAAGAAACCCCUCUACGUGUGGAGGGUUGACGGUACCGGAGGAAUAAGCACCGGCUAACUUCGUGCCAGCAGCCGC
rnacentral:rRNA from 1 species